rnacentral:rRNA from 1 species
GACGAACGCUUGCGGCGUGCUUAACACAUGCAAGUCGAACGGAAAGGCCCUGCUUUUGUGGGGUGCUCGAGUGGCGAACGGGUGAGUAACACGUGAGUAACCUGCCCUUGACUUUGGGAUAACUUCAGGAAACUGGGGCUAAUACCGGAUAGGAGCUCCUGCUGCAUGGUGGGGGUUGGAAAGUUUCGGCGGUUGGGGAUGGACUCGCGGCUUAUCAGCUUGUUGGUGGGGUAGUGGCUUACCAAGGCUUUGACGGGUAGCCGGCCUGAGAGGGUGACCGGCCACAUUGGGACUGAGAUACGGCCCAGACUCCUACGGGAGGCAGCAGUGGGGAAUAUUGCACAAUGGGCGGAAGCCUGAUGCAGCAACGCCGCGUGCGGGAUGACGGCCUUCGGGUUGUAAACCGCUUUCGCCUGUGACGAAGCGUGAGUGACGGUAAUGGGUAAAGAAGCACCGGCUAACUACGUGCCAGCAGCCGCGGUGAUACGUAGGGUGCGAGCGUUGUCCGGAUUUAUUGGGCGUAAAGGGCUCGUAGGUGGUUGAUCGCGUCGGAAGUGUAAUCUUGGGGCUUAACCCUGAGCGUGCUUUCGAUACGGGUUGACUUGAGGAAGGUAGGGGAGAAUGGAAUUCCUGGUGGGGCGGUGGAAUGCGCAGAUAUCAGGAGGAACACCAGUGGCGAAGGCGGUUCUCUGGGCCUUUCCUGACGCUGAGGAGCGAAAGCGUGGGGAGCGAACAGGCUUAGAUACCCUGGUAGUCCACGCUGUAAACGGUGGGUACUAGGUGUGGGGUCCAUUCCACGGGUUCCGUGCCGUAGCUAACGCUUUAAGUACCCCGCCUGGGGAGUACGGCCGCAAGGCUAAAACUCAAAGGAAUUGACGGGGCCCCGCACAAGCGGCGGAGCAUGCGGAUUAAUUCGAUGCAACGCGUAGAACCUUACCUGGGUUUGACAUGGAUCGGGAGUGCUCAGAGAUGGGUGUGCCUCUUUUGGGGUCGGUUCACAGGUGGUGCAUGGCUGUCGUCAGCUCGUGUCGUGAGAUGUUGGGUUAAGUCCCGCAACGAGCGCAACCCUUGUUCACUGUUGCCAGCACGUUAUGGUGGGGACUCAGUGGAGACCGCCGGGGUCAACUCGGAGGAAGGUGGGGAUGACGUCAAGUCAUCAUGCCCCUUAUGUCCAGGGCUUCACGCAUGCUACAAUGGCUGGUACAGAGAGUGGCGAGCCUGUGAGGGUGAGCGAAUCUCGGAAAGCCGGUCUCAGUUCGGAUUGGGGUCUGCAACUCGACCUCAUGAAGUCGGAGUCGCUAGUAAUCGCAGAUCAGCAACGCUGCGGUGAAUACGUUCCCGGG